rnacentral:lncRNA from 1 species
GUAUAUUUUUUCUACUUUCCAUAUUAUUCAUAUAUAUCUAAGUAAGAAUUCUUAUUCCUUACUAUUAAAUAGACUUUAAUUAAGGGCAACUAAGGCAAAAAUUGAUUGAGAGAAUAAAAAAUUCCAUAUAAUUUAUGGCCAUCUAAAAAAGUUAACAAAGAUUCUCAUUCAACUCUAAGGAUUAGCAGUAAAAAAAACCUCUAUUAAUUUUUCUGAGAAUGAAACAUAUAUUCUUCAAUCUAAGCAAUAGUUAAAAAAGAAAGUGAGAUUUAAUAAUUUAAAGAGAAAUGAAUUGACUCAAUCUAAUAUGAUCAAACCUACUCUUUUAAGUUAUGUAGGCCCCAGAUUAUAUGAUUAGAUGGUUGAUGGAAAAUUCACCUAAUGGUUAAUUAUAUACCUUACUUCAAGUAU